rnacentral:lncRNA from 10 species
UACCGAUUCAUUUCAUGAACUGAGUCUUAUUUAUCUUUGUUUCCCCAGCAAACAGCACAAGGUACGUAUUGAUGUUUCCGUAGGUAUUUGCAAAUAAAUGUUUUCCUGGUAGAGUGGUUCUCUCUCUACCCUUCCAGCUAGAUUGUCUGUUGUGACCUCAACCCCCUGCUGGUAGGGUCCCACCUUUCACUGGCCUCCCUCGGCCUCCACAGGGCACCUGUUAGAACUGUGUGCAAACCACGAGGGAAUAGGCGCUGAGGGGCUCUCUCGGGAGUGAACUCGCCAACUUAGUGUUUGGAGGUUGUGCCUCAAGUUACGGCUGCCCUGGUGAAAAUUAAAGUGUUUCCAUUUUGGACAAAUAAUCCCAACGUAAGGAAUCACAGCAGAUGGCUAUGGGCCUGGAUGAGCCACUUACCUAUGGGGCUGAUGAAUGGGAAGAGCCCUGGGCUUGGAGUGAGAGACCCACAUCCACGGUCAAGUCCCUGCCACCAUCUUGCUGUGUGACCUCCAGCAAAUGACUUCCCCAUCUCAACCUCGGUUUCCUCAUCUAUCAGACAGGAAUACUGCCACCUAAUACACAGGGCCGUCUUCAGGACAAAAUGGGGUAUCAAAUGGCACUGUAUAUUUGUACCUACUUGACAAAUGUGAGGCAUGAGGGUGAGACUCCUGAAGACCAGUCCACACCCCUGAGGGCAUUUCAGAUGCCCCACAGCCUGCAAUGUCUUGGGAAGUCUCUCUCAGCUGUUCCAGCUCCAGUCAAAGACUAUCCUGUCAAAACAUGACCCCAUCCAGAGAAGCAAUCUCCCGUGUGUUUGGUGGGCCACCUGCCCACGGGGCGCAGCCUGCUGGGCCACGAACAUCAACAGCAGCCCCUUCCUGGUGGGAGAAGGAACAGGGAGCUGGCUUGUUCUCUAAGAGCACAGUGCUGGCGGGUGACGAGGCACAUUUUAAGGUGGGAUGCUUCUUCCUGCACCGUUGGCAGCUGUCUACAUAAGGUGCCCAUUAUGUGCAGGCCCCAAGGCCAGCGGGCCUGAGAGGCCAAGCUAAAAUUACUGUCAGAUGUGCACCCGCCAGACACACUGAACAUCUGAAGGUCAGAUGCCUCCAAGCAGCCACCCGGGCAGGAGCGUGGCAGAUGGGCACCAAACAGCUGUGGCAGCUGCUGCCUCUUGUUCCUCCCAAGCACAGAGACAGACGGCCCUGUGCAGCAGCCUGGUUCAAUAGCCCAGCUUGAGUUAAAAAAUAGAAUGUAGAGUAUAAUCCUAAUUUAAAAAAAAAAAUCUGCGUAACUGCAUAGAAAAAAAGGUGGAAGAGGAAUUCACUAAAUAGCCCAGUCACGGAUGUGGAAUAGUAGGUGAAUUUUUUUUCCUCUACUUUCCAAAAUUUUCUCAAUACAUAUGUAUUACUUUUGUAAUCAGAAGAAUACACAAUAAGAUGCUAUGUUAUAUAUUCCUAUGAAAUAUAUAAAAUGAUUAAAUGGCAUAUGCUUUGACAUGUGGU